rnacentral:rRNA from 1 species
UACAGAGGUCCCAAGCGUUGUUCGGAUUCACUGGGCGUAAAGGGUGCGUAGGUGGUUAGGUAAGUCCGAUGUGAAAUCUCCAGGCUCAACCUGGAAAUGGCAUUGGAUACUAUUUAGCUUGAGGAGUGGAGGGGGGACUGGAAUUCUCGGUGUAGCAGUGAAAUGCGUAGAUAUCGAGAGGAACACCAGUGGCGAAGGCGAGUCUCUAGACAUUUCCUGACGCUGAGGCACGAAAGCCAGGGGAGCAAACGGG